ACGAACGCUGGCGGCGUGCUUAACACCUGCAAGUCGAACGAAGAGCGACGGAAGCUUGCUUCUAUCAAUCUUAGUGGCGAACGGGUGAGUAACGCGUAAUCAACCUGCCCUUCAGAGGGGGACAACAGUUGGAAACGACUGCUAAUACCGCAUACGAUCUAACCUCGGCAUCGAGGAUAGAUGAAAGGUGGCCUCUACAUGUAAGCUAUCACUGAAGGAGGGGAUUGCGUCUGAUUAGCUAGUUGGAGGGGUAACGGCCCACCAAGGCGAUGAUCAGUAGCCGGUCUGAGAGGAUGAACGGCCACAUUGGGACUGAGACACGGCCCAGACUCCUACGGGAGGCAGCAGUGGGGAAUCUUCCGCAAUGGACGAAAGUCUGACGGAGCAACGCCGCGUGAGUGAUGACGGCCUUCGGGUUGUAAAGCUCUGUUAAUCGGGACGAAAGGCCUUCUUGCGAAUAGUGAGAAGGAUUGACGGUACCGGAAUAGAAAGCCACGGCUAACUACGUG
rnacentral:rRNA from 1 species